rnacentral:piRNA from 1 species
UCAAAGAUCCUACUGCCUAUCAUGACUGAU